rnacentral:rRNA from 1 species
CAGUAGCCGCGGGAAUACGAAGGGGGCUAGCGUUGCUCGGAAUGACUGGGCGCAAAGGGCGCGUAGGCGGAUUGCGCAGUCAGAUGUGAAAUUCCUGGGCUUAACCUGGGGGCUGCAUUUGAGACGCGUAGUCUAGAGUGUGAAAGAGGGUCGUGGAAUUCCCAGUGUAGAGGUGAAAUUCGUAGAUAUUGGGAAGAACACCGGUGGCGAAGGCGGCGACCUGGUUCAUAACUGACGCUGAGGCGCGAAAGCAUGGGGAGCAAGCAGGAUUAGAUACCCCAGUAGUCCCUGUCUCUUAUAC